rnacentral:lncRNA from 1 species
UCUUCUAGGGUGUAUUUAUAGGCUUUGGAAUGCCUAAGAGCCCUCAAAAGUGGCUUUUUCCGAAUAGGACUUUGCUUGGGCUCGACAGGGACACGUCUCUGUGACAUGCCCGUGUGUGAUUACUUUAGGCCAUGGUCAAUCUUAUUAAAUAGGCACGGGCGUAUGGUCUACCCGUGUGAGUCGUGCUUCGAUUCUGCCAAAUUGACACGGCCGUGCGGUCUGCCUGUGUGUGGAAGUCCAGGUCAUGUUGAUUUCAUACGUUGUACCAUUUUCUCCGUCUUUGG